rnacentral:lncRNA from 1 species
CGCCGGCCCGGCGGGGCGAGCCGCUCCGUACCUGCGAGGUAGCGCCGCUCGAUGUGAAAUGUGUAUGAGUAGGAAGACCUCAUCGCUGAGCCAGGAUCACUGAGUAGUGGCAAAGCUGAAUAAUUAAAGUUCACUUUGGGCAUUGUUGCAAAUAAAACAGAUGUACCUUUGCACUGAAAAUCCACAAUGUUCUCAUCAUUAAAGUAGACUUCAUGGAAAGUGUUUUGCAUUAUUUGUGUCACUUCAGAGGAGUGCUCAAAUUACUGAACCACAAAUAUUCAAUAUCCAGCUUGUGUUAUGAUUGUACACGACAAAACCAAUUUGAGGUGCUGAGAAGCAGCACUGCCUCUUCGCAGCACAUCAACGUGCAGUGCUUCCCAUCCAAUUGGGUUUCCUUGCUGCAGAGCAGGCUCCAUGCAGCCAGGAACAAGUGUUUGUCUGAGUGAGCAGGAGGGGUCCUCUAAUGAUCCGCUUUUUCAGAGUCAUGGUAAUAUCAAGAAAAAAUGUGAAAUCUCUAAGUUUGUCUCUCCUGAGUUUCCAUCAGAACAGUGUUUGUUCUUAAGCAGUUACCUUGGUGCGUCCGGAUGGAAGUAACUGCAGAAAUAGAAGGCUGUAAAAACUC